rnacentral:rRNA from 1 species
GGCCCAGACUCCUACGGGAGGCAGCAGUAGGGAAUCUUCCGCAAUGGACGAAAGUCUGACGGAGCAACGCCGCCGAGUGAAGAAGGUUUUCGGAUCGUAAAGAAUGUUUUUAGGGAAGAACAAACACCGUUCGAAUAAGGCGGUACCUGACGGACCUACCAGGACCG